UAUGUGGUGCCAUCAGCCAUUUUGAAAAAAAUGUGUGUGUGUGUUUGACUAGGGGAAGUGUUGUCUAUGUUUGUGCUUGGGUACAUGGAGAGAAAAAGGUUGAAGGAAGAGUGUGAGAGAGUGUGAAGAGGAAAAAAGAAAGUGAGUGAGGUUUAGAGGAAAAAAAGGAAAUUUGAAAGAAGAGAGCCGGGAGCCCCAACUACUGCCAUGAAGACCACUGUGUUCCAGAAAGAACAUCAACCCAAUGCUUCCAAAGUGACCUACUCAGGGUGCCGCUUGCCCCCAUCCGGCCAGGAGGGGAGGUCGUUGGUACGGUUUGCGUCCAGAUUGCGUCCAGACUGCGGGGCAGACACAGCAGUAGCUGACCACAUCCCCGUUCCUGUAGCAUCGCUGGGUCCUUUGUUAAGGGCAGAUGGCAGCAGCUGAAAAGGAGCUUUACAUCUUGUGCCACAAGAAUCUUGUUCAAGCAGGAAGACAACGGAAGGCAGAAGGCAAACGUUGAGCCCCCUCUGAAUUCUCCCUGGCGCUCUGAAGCAAAGCAGUCACGCUGAAGGCAACUAUUCUCCAGUCUUCGCUGGGGGCCCAAUCCUGGGACGUGCUGAGGUCACUUAACGGCACUCAGGACCCUUCCAGGAUCAGGCCCCAUAAUUCCAUAUGCCAGGCUGUUAUUAUCACGUAGCAUUUAUACUGCACUGGUGCCUAAACCCCAGCCAGGCCUGGGGCCAGCUGUGCUGGGGACUCCAGCAGACAGAGCUCGUGUCUUCCUGUAUGCAAACCACACAUGCUGAAAUCAGAGCACGGGGAAAAGCUAACCUUAGCGUGGUAUCAAAGCACCACGCCAGCUGUCAGAGACACGGUGUCUGGUGCCCCUUUGUGACACGCUGCAGGCACAGAAGGGUCUGUGGGACUGUGAAGAACAGAGGAGACAUGGGGAUUUUUUUCAGGAAUUGUCUCUCUGAUUGCAAUCGUGCCGCCUGCCCCAUGGCUGCAAAGGGUUAACUCAGUCCUCGGUGGCUUUGUUCUGCGGGAACUGGCGUCAGGGCUAUAGACAGCCCCAGCCCCAGUGCAUAACACACAGUACAGGGGCCAAGGCCUGGGACGUGUGGUCUCCAUCCAAACUGGACACGACGUGCUGGUGGCUUGUGGCAAGAAGUGGGGCAGUGGGUGGAUGCACCCAAAGGGCCUGGCUGGUUUAAAGAGACGCUCCCUGCAGCUCCCAGAGAAGCAGGGUCUGCAGAGAAAGAGCCUGUCAGCUGCCCCAGAAGAGCAGGGGGACCAGGGUGCAGUCGGGCCUAGCUAAUUCUGGAGAGAAAUUCUAAACGUAGAUCAGACAGUGUGUGUGCUGGGAGGGGGAGGGGGAGACCUUUUGCUACUUGAACCCCUUUGCCAUGGGUGGCAA